UGAGGAAUAUUGGUCAAUGGACGCAAGUCUGAACCAGCCAAGUAGCGUGCAGGAUGACGGCCCUCCGGGUUGUAAACUGCUUUUAGUUGGGAAUAAAAAGAGGGACGUGUCCCUCAUUGUAUGUACCUUCAGAAAAAGGACCGGCUAAUUCCGUGCCAGCAGCCGCGGUAAUACGGAAGGUCCAGGCGUUAUCCGGAUUUAUUGGGUUUAAAGGGAGCGUAGGCGGAUUAUUAAGUCAGUGGUGAAAGACGGUGGCUCAACCAUCGUUAGCCAUUGAAACUGGUAGUCUUGAGUGCAGACAGGGAUGCUGGAACUCGUGGUGUAGCGGUGAAAUGCUUAGAUAUCACGAUGAACUCCGAUCGCGAAGGCAGGUGUCCGGGCUGCAACUGACGCUGAGGCUCGAAAGUGUGGGUAUCAAACAGG
rnacentral:rRNA from 1 species